rnacentral:lncRNA from 1 species
GUCUCUCAACUUGAGGUUGGGUUGCAUUAACUAUUUUAGAGGAUUCUUUCAUCUGUUUCCUCGUGCGCUUGCGAUGAUUUUCCAUACUUCUCUCAUUGUCAUUCGGAGAAGGGAGAUGGAUAGUUUUAUUUGGUACCUCUAUUCUUUCAGCACAUUCCUUGCAGGAAUGUAUGAUUUUGUGACAUGGUGACAGUAAAUUAAUCCGGCAAGUUGUUUGCAGCAUUCUGCAAACCAAUGAUCCUAUGAACUUGAAGUUUGGAUUCUUUGGUAAGAGGACCCUCCUUUAGGGUGUCUAUGGCAUCACAAUUUAUUUCUUGGCAUUCAGUGUGAUACCUGAAUUCUCCCCCUAAUCCCCUGUAAGAGGCUCUAG